GUUUUUCCAGCCCAUACAUUUGGAGGCCUUGAUCCCCAAUCCAAUGCAUUCUUCAAUGGCAGAGUGAUGGGAGUAGUUGUAAUCAGGAGAAGCGAAGAUACAGGAAUCGGCUUGAAGAAUCUUACGGCAGAAAUCCUCCACC